rnacentral:rRNA from 1 species
ACGAACGCUGGCGGCGUGCUUAACACAUGCAAGUCGAGCGAGAAAGGGGGGGGCAACUCCCCUGAGUAGAGCGGCGCACGGGUGAGUAACGCGUUGGUGACCUACCCCAAAGUGUGGGAUAACAGUUCAAAAGAACUGCUAAUACCGCAUGUGGUUAUUGGAUUUAGAAACCGAUAACUAAAGGAGCAAUUCGCUUUGGGAGGGACCUGCGUCCCAUCAGCUAGUUGGUGAGGUAAUGGCUCACCAAGGCUACGACGGGUAGGGGACCUGAGAGGGUGACCCCCCACAAUGGAACUGAAACACGGUCCAUACACCUACGGGUGGCAGCAGUAGGGAAUAUUGCACAAUGGGCGAAAGCCUGAUGCAGCAACGCCGCGUGUGCGAUGAAGGCCUUCGGGUCGUAAAGCACUUUUCUGAGGGAUGAGCAAGGACAGUACCUCAGGAAUAAGUCUCGGCUAACUACGU